GACGAACGCUGGCGGCGUGCUUAACACAUGCAAGUCGAACGGAAAGGCCCUGCUUUUGUGGGGUGCUCGAGUGGCGAACGGGUGAGUAACACGUGAGUAACCUGCCCUUGACUUUGGGAUAACUUCAGGAAACUGGGGCUAAUACCGGAUAGGAGCUCCUGCUGCAUGGUGGGGGUUGGAAAGUUUCGGCGGUUGGGGAUGGACUCGCGGCUUAUCAGCUUGUUGGUGGGGUAGUGGCUUACCAAGGCUUUGACGGGUAGCCGGCCUGAGAGGGUGACCGGCCACAUUGGGACUGAGAUACGGCCCAGACUCCUACGGGAGGCAGCAGUGGGGAAUAUUGCACAAUGGGCGGAAGCCUGAUGCAGCAACGCCGCGUGCGGGAUGACGGCCUUCGGGUUGUAAACCGCUUUCGCCUGUGACGAAGCGUGGGUGACGGUAAUGGGUAAAGAAGCACCGGCUAACUACG
rnacentral:rRNA from 1 species